GCUCAGAUUGAACGCUGGCGGCAGGCCUAACACAUGCAAGUCGAGCGGAUGAAGGGAGCUUGCUCCUGGAUUCAGCGGCGGACGGGUGAGUAAUGCCUAGGAAUCUGCCUGAUAGUGGGGGAUAACGUCCGGAAACGGGCGCUAAUACCGCAUACGUCCUGAGGGAGAAAGUGGGGGAUCUUCGGACCUCACGCUAUCAGAUGAGCCUAGGUCGGAUUAGCUA
rnacentral:rRNA from 1 species